AGCCAGUCGGCAAUCAAGCCUGUUGACCCUGAAGGUGUGGUUGGAUGAACUUGGACUGUCCUGAUACGCUGCAUAAAAUAAACAGAUAAUAUUACCAAGAAGAAAGAAAUGGCAUGAGAUGUUCUGCAUGUCUCAGGGUGCAUUGCAGUUACUUUAACCAUCUGACUGCAUCCUUUAUGACACACUUCGAGGACAGAUGAGACUUGAACCCUGUUCUUCUAGCUCAGAGGCUUCUUCAAAGAAAGAAUUGGAUUUAUAUCACACCUUUCAUGGUUACCAGAAUUCUUAAAGCACUUUACCCCCCGCACCCCCCAAUGAAGUACUUUAGAACAGUGAUCACUAUUACAGACCACGUGUUCCAGGACAAAGAAACCAGGAGUGCCUCAGUUUUGAUCACCACUGCAGUAGCUCUUUCUCAUCCCAGGAAUUACAGGACACCACAAUUUGCUACUGCCCUCCCAGAUUCCAUGUGCAGUGCAUAGCCUACCAUACUUCACUCAGAUGCAUGCAUGUGCUUCAACGCUGAGCGCUGGCUAGCUGUUAGCUGCACUUGGACAUAACCUCAACGACAAUUUAUAUGCAGAGAAUGUUAACCAUUGAUGGGGCACGAAGAGAGCAGGAGUAAAAUGAAGUUGAACAUGGGAGAGAAUGAAGAAAGCACGAGAAAAGCAGGAGUGUGGAAAGGGCAGGAGGAGGGAUGUGAGAAAGAACCACAGGAGUACGGCAAGUGAUAAUGAGGGAAAACCAUCUGUGACUUCACCACGUACUGAUUGGCUUGUAACUUGGUCACUUUGGGAAAAAGAAUACAAGCAUGGACUACUUUCUAAACGGUGAGAAAAUUCGUAA